GACGAACGCUGGCGGCGUGCUUAACACAUGCAAGUCGAACGGAAAGGCCCUGCUUGCAGGGUACUCCAGUGGCGAACUGGUGAGUAACACGUGGGUGAUCUGCCCUGCACUUCGGGAUAAGCCUGGGAAACUGGGUCUAAUACCGGAUAGGAGCCAUUUUUAGUGUGAUGGUUGGAAAGUUUUUUCGGUGUAGGAUGAGCUCGCGGCCUAUCAGCUGGUUGGUGGGGUAAUGGCCUACCAAGGCGGCGACGGGUAGCCGGCCUGAGAGGGUGGACGGCGACAUUGGGACUGAGAUACGGCCCAGACUCCUAAGGGAGGCAGCAGUGGGGAAUAUUGCACCAUGGGCGCAAGCCUGGUGCAGCAACGCCGCGUGGGGGAUGACGGCCUUAGGGUUGUAAAAACCUUUCGCUAGGGACGAAGGUUUUUGUGACGGUACCUAGAUAAGAAGCACCGGCUAACUACGUG
rnacentral:rRNA from 1 species